AACGAACGCUGGCGGCAUGCCUAACACAUGCAAGUCGAACGAGACCUUCGGGUCUAGUGGCGCACGGGUGCGUAACGCGUGGGAACCUGCCCUUAGGUUCGGAAUAACUCCCCGAAAGGGGUGCUAAUACCGGAUAAUGUCUUCGGACCAAAGAUUUAUCGCCUUUGGAUGGGCCCGCGUUGGAUUAGCUAGUUGGUAGGGUAAAAGCCUACCAAGGCGACGAUCCAUAGCUGGUCUGAGAGGAUGAUCAGCCACACUGGGACUGAGACACGGCCCAGACUCCUGCGGGAGGCAGCAGUGGGGGAUAUUGGGCCAUGGGCGAAAGCCUGAUCCAGCAAUGCCGCGUGAGUGAUGAAGGCCUUAGGGUUGUAAAGCUCUUUUACCCGGGAUGAUAAUGACAGUACCGGGAGAAUAAGCUCCGGCUAACUCCGUG
rnacentral:rRNA from 1 species